GCCGAUUUGGCUCAAUGGCUAGAGCAUUGGCUGGUGGGCCAAUGGUCAGAGAUUUGAUUCCUAUAAAGGGCA
rnacentral:tRNA from 1 species